rnacentral:rRNA from 1 species
CCUACGGGUGGCAGCAGUGAGGAAUAUUGGUCAAUGGGCGUAAGCCUGAACCAGCCAAGUAGCGUGCAGGAUGACGGCCCUACGGGUUGUAAACUGCUUUUAUGCGGGGAUAACGUGCCUUACGUGUAGUGCUUUGCAUGUACCGCAUGAAUAAGGACCGGCUAAUUCCGUGCCAGCAGCCGCGGUAAUAUGGAAGGUCCGGGCGUUAUCCGGAUUUAUUGGGUUUAAAGGGAGCGUAGGCCGCAUGUCAAGCGUGCUGUGAAAUGCCCGGGCUCAACCCGGGCCCUGCGGCGCGAACUGGCGUGCUUGAGUGCGCGGAAAGCAGGCGGAAUUCGUGGUGUAGCGGUGAAAUGCUUAGAUAUGACGAAGAACCCCGAUUGCGAAGGCAGCAUGCUGCAGCGGAACUGACGCUGAUGCUCGAAGGCGCGGGUAUCGAACAGGAUUAGAUACCCGGGUAGUC